rnacentral:rRNA from 1 species
AGCCUGGCACCGAAGCUUUGGAAUGAUGAAUGUCAUUGGUAGGGGAGCGUUCUUAACGAGUAGAAGCGGUACCGUGAGGAGCCGUGGAUUGUUAAGAAGUGAGAAUGCCGGUAUGAGUAAGCGAAAAGGCAGGUGAGAAUCCUGCCCGCCGAAAACCUAAGGUUUUCUGGGGAAGGUUCGUCCGCCCAGAGUAAGUCGGGACCUAAGCCGAGGCCGCAAGGCGUAGGCGAUGGACAAUCGGUUGAGAAUCCGAUACCACCAGAUACCGUUUGAGUGAAGGAGUGACGCAGGAGGGUAAGUCAAGCCAGCGGUUGGAAAAGCUGGUCCAAGCCCGUAGGGUAAGAGAUAGGCAAAUCCGUCUCUUGUAAAGCCUGAGAGGUGAAGGGGAGCGAAAACAAGUAGCGAAG